rnacentral:rRNA from 1 species
AGGGUUUGAUCAUGGCUCAGGACGAACGCUGGCGGCGUGCCUAAUACAUGCAAGUCGAACGCUUCUUACUUAUCGAACUUCGGUUCACCAAGUAAGAAGAGUGGCGAACGGGUGAGUAACACGUGGGUAACCUGCCCAUCAGAGGGGGAUAACACUUGGAAACAGGUGCUAAUACCGCAUAAUUCUUUUUGUCGCAUGAUAGAAAGAUGAAAGGCGCUUUUGCGUCACUGAUGGAUGGACCCGCGGUGCAUUAGCUAGUUGGUAGGGUAAUGGCUUACCAAGGCAAUGAUGCAUAGCCGACCUGAGAGGGUGAUCGGCCACACUGGGACUGAGACACGGCCCAG